UACGUAGGGCGCGAGCGUUGUCCGGAAUUAUUGGGCGUAAAGAGCUCGUAGGCGGCCUGUUGCGUCCGCUGUGAAAUCCCGGGCUCACCAUCGGUGCGUGCAGCCGAUACGGGCAGACUAGAGUUCGGCAGGGGAGACUGGAAUUCCUGGUGUAGCGGUGAAAUGCGCAGAUAUCAGGAGGAACACCGGUGGCGAAGGCGGGUCUCUGGGCCGAUACUGACGCUGAGGAGCGAAAGCGUGGGGAGCGAACAGG
rnacentral:rRNA from 1 species